UAGACCUCUGCAGCGCCUUUGCCACUGCAGCA
rnacentral:scRNA from 1 species